rnacentral:rRNA from 1 species
ACUCAAAGGAAUUGACGGGGGCCCGCACAAGCAGCGGAGCAUGUGGUUUAAUUCGACGCAACGCGAAGAACCUUACCUGGGCUUGACAUGUUCCUGACAGCCCCGGAAACGGGGUCUCCUUCGGGCAGGAUCACAGGUGGUGCAUGGCUGUCGUCAGCUCGUGUCGUGAGAUGUUGGGUUAAGUCCCGCAACGAGCGCAACCCCCGUCGCAUGUUGCCAGCAUUAAGUUGGGGACUCAUGUGAGACUGCCGGCGACAAGCCGGAGGAAGGCGGGGAUGACGUCAAGUCAUCAUGCCCCUUACGUCCAGGGCUACACACGUGCUACAUUGGCGCGUACAGAGGGCUGCGAUACCGCGAGGUGGAGCGAAUCCCUUAAAGCGCGUCUCGGUUCGGAUUGCAGGCUGAAACCCGCCUGCAUGAAGGUGGAGUUGCUAGUAAUCGCGGAUCAGCACUGCCGCGGUGAAUACGUUCCCGGGCCUUGCACACACCGCCCGU